rnacentral:tRNA from 1 species
GGUGGGGUUCCCGAGCGGCCAAAGGGAGCAGACUGUAAAUCUGCCGUCAUCGACUUC